UUGUAUAUGGUUGCUAUAGACUGAAUGUUUGUGUUUCCCCAAAGUUCAUAUGUUGAAAUCUGAUUCCCAGUGUGAUGGUAUUUGGAGGUGCCAUCUUUUGAAUAUGAUUGGAUUGUGAGUGUGGCACUCUCAUCAAUGGGAUUAGUGCCCUUUUAAAAGAGAUCCCAGAGAGCCCCUUCACCCUUUCACCCAUUCACCAUGUGGAGACAUGGUGAAAAGAUGGCUGUCUAUGAACGAGGAAGCAGAGCCUUGCUAGACAUCAAAUCUGCCAGCACCUUGAUCUUGGACUUUCAGCCUUCAAAACUGAACUUCCAAGUCUGAAGCCCUAAAUGUGGGGCCCUGCUGGCCUCUAGUCCUGGCCACUGAUGCACCAGCACAAACUGUCUCAUAGAAGGAAGGCUCUGGUCAAGAGGGGUGCAAGCCAGGGAGUGGGGUAAUGAAGUUGGAAACAGAGAAGUUGAAUAAUUUGUGCAAGAUGAACUGCUAUGUGAUGGGACAAAAACCCAACUCAGCCUAGGUGCUGAGAGCAACCAGUGGAUGAGAAGCCUGCCUGCCUCUUCUCCAUGACCAACAUAUUCUGGCCACCCAGUUGUUCUAUGUACAGGGGGCCUACAAAAUACAGAGUUAAGUAUUUUUGGUAAAUAUAGCAGACUCUUAAUUCA